rnacentral:rRNA from 1 species
GACGAACGCUGGCGGCGUGCUUAACACAUGCAAGUCGAGCGGUAAGGCCCUUUCGGGGGUACACGAGCGGCGAACGGGUGAGUAACACGUGGGUGACCUGCCCUCAGCUCUGGGAUAAGCCUGGGAAACUGGGUCUAAUACUGGAUAUGACUCCACGGUGCAUGUCGUGGGGUGGAAAGCCUUGUGCGGCUGAGGAUGGGCCCGCGGCCUAUCAGCUUGUUGGUGGGGUGANGGCCUACCAAGGCGACGACGGGUAGCCGGCCUGAGAGGGCGACCGGCCACACUGGGACUGAGACACGGCCCAGACUCCUACGGGAGGCAGCAGGUGGGGAAUCUUGCGCAAUGGGACGAAAGCCUGACGCAGCGACGCCGCGUGAGGGAU